rnacentral:rRNA from 1 species
UACAGAGGUCUCAAGCGUUGUUCGGAUUCAUUGGGCGUAAAGGGUGCGUAGGUGGUGAUGCAAGUCUGGUGUGAAAUCUCGGAGCUCAACUCCGAAAUUGCACCGGAUACUGCGUGACUCGAGGACUGUAGAGGAGAUCGGAAUUCACGGUGUAGCAGUGAAAUGCGUAGAUAUCAGGAAGAACACCCGUGGCUAAGGCGGCUCUCUAGUACGGUACUGACGCUGAGACGCGAAAGCGUGGGGAGCGAACAGG